CAAAACUAAACGCAGAGGGAAGUGAGCAGUGCUCAGUGUAUUAAAAGUGAAUUACAUUUUUGCGGUGCCAAUUCAAGGUCGAAUUGGCACCCAGUAAGAACCCAUUUGUGUAUUGUUCUUACAUUGGGAAUAAGUUUACAAUCCCCCAAGCAGCAGUUUACCCUAAGAAGGGCUUCCAGCGCCACGCCGCGGGAUCUGAUGGAUUUAUUAUAAAUUAGUAUUCAUCGCUCAACCCGACAAAAGAUCUUUUGGACGUGGAUAUUAAACUCGAUGUAAGUGAAAAAAAAAACUCAUUACCCCAAAUUAAAUAUUGUUGGUGGUUAGGCUGAUUUUUCUCAGUGUAAUAAAAGCUUUACCUGAAAGAUUUUUAUCUCCCAUACGGUAAAAUCGAACCACGCGGUUGCAAUUAAA